rnacentral:rRNA from 1 species
UACGUAGGGUCCGAGCGUUGUCCGGAAUUAUUGGGCGUAAAGGGCUCGUAGGCGGCCAACUAAGUCAGACGUGAAAUCCCUCGGCUUAACUGGGGAACUGCGUCUGAUACUGGAUGGCUUGAGUUUGGGAGAGGGAUGCGGAAUUCCAGGUGUAGCGGUGAAAUGCGUAGAUAUCUGGAGGAACACCGGUGGCGAAGGCGGCAUCCUGGACCAACACUGACGCUGAGUGAGCGAAAGCCAGGGGAGCAAACGGG